GAUGAACGCUGGCGGCGUGCCUAAUACAUGCAAGUCGAGCGAAUGGAUUAAGAGCUUGCUCUUAUGAAGUUAGCGGCGGACGGGUGAGUAACACGUGGGUAACCUGCCCAUAAGACUGGGAUAACUCCGGGAAACCGGGGCUAAUACCGGAUAACAUUUUGAACCGCAUGGUUCGAAAUUGGAAGGCGGCUUCGGCUGUCACUUAUGGAUGGACCCGCGUCGCAUUGGCUAGUUGGUGAGGUAACGGCUCACCAAGGCAACGAUGCGUAGCCGACCUGAGAGGGUGAUCGGCCACACUGGGACUGAGACACGGCCCAGACUCCUACGGGAGGCAGCAGUAGGGAAUCUUCCGCAAUGGACGAAAGUCUGACGGAGCAACGCCGCGUGAGUGAUGAAGGCUUUCGGGUCGUAAAACUCUGUUGUUAGGGAAGAACAAGUGCUAGUUGAAUAAGCUGGCACCUUGACGGUACCUAACCAGAAAGCCACGGCUAACUACGUGCCAGCAGCCGCGGUAA
rnacentral:rRNA from 1 species